UACGAAGGGGGCUAGCGUUGUUCGGAAUUACUGGGCGUAAAGAGCUCGUAGGCGGUUUGUCGCGUCUGCUGUGAAAACUCGGGGCUUAACUCCGGGCCUGCAGUGGGUACGGGCAGACUAGAGUGCGGUAGGGGAGACUGGAAUUCCUGGUGUAGCGGUGAAAUGCGCAGAUAUCAGGAGGAACACCGGUGGCGAAGGCGGGUCUCUGGGCCGUAACUGACGCUGAGGAGCGAAAGCGUGGGGAGCGAACAGG
rnacentral:rRNA from 1 species